AAAGGUCUGGUCCAUUACCUUAUUAUUAGCAAAAACGUAAUUUAUACAUGCAAGUAUCAGCACACCCGUGAGUAAGCCCUAACCCUUAUUAGGACAAGGAGCCGGUAUCAGGCACAGAAAAAUCUAGCCCACUACACCUAGCUUUAGCCACACCCUCAAGGGAAUCCAGCAGUAAUUAACAUUGUAAAUAAGCGAAAGCUUGAUUCAGUUAUAGUUUACAAGAGCUGGCCAAUUCGGUGCCAGCCGCCGCGGCUACACCGCUAGCUCAAGCUAAUAAACAACGGCGUUAAGCGUGUUUAAAGUUACCAAAAAACUAGAGUUAAACCCUUAAUCAUAGAGCAAUAUCAUGAUUAUUAAGAAAUACACAAACGAAAGUUACUCUAAAAAUUUGACUUGAAUCCACGAAAGCUAAGAAACAAACUGGGAUUAGAUACCCCACUAUGCUUAGCCCUAAAAUAUCAAUUACACUAAAACCCGCCAAAAAACUACGAGCGCAAGCUUGAAACUUAAGGACUUGACGGUGUCCAAUCAACCUAGAGGAGCCUGUUCUGUAACCGAUGAUCCCCGUUAUACCUCACCUCUUUUAGCUAAUCAGCCUGUAUACUUCCGUCGUAAGCUAACCAUGUGACUGUUACAGUAAGCUAAAUAGUUAAUACACCAAAACGUCAGGUCAAAGUGCAACCUAUAAAGAGGAAAGAAAUGGGCUACUAUUUUUAACUCAAGAAAAACGAAUUAGCAUCUCAAUAACUGCUAUGAAGGUGGAUUUAGAAGUAAAGUGAAAAUAGCGUGUUCACUUUAAUAAUGUACUAGGACAUGUACAAACCGCCCGUCAUCCUCUUUUUCCUUAAUCCCCUACCUAUACCUAAUAAAUUUAUUAAGAACCAAAAGAGGCAAGUCGUAACAUGGUAAGUAUACUGGAAAGUGUACUUGGCUAA
rnacentral:ncRNA from 1 species